rnacentral:rRNA from 1 species
CCUACGGGAGGCAGCAGUGAGGAAUAUUGGACAAUGGGCGCAAGCCUGAUCCAGCCAUGCCGCGUGCAGGAUGACGGUCCUAUGGAUUGUAAACUGCUUUUAUACAGGAAGAAACACCUCUACGUGUAGAGACUUGACGGUACUGUAAGAAUAAGGAUCGGCUAACUCCGUGCCAGCAGCCGCGGUAAUACGGAGGAUCCAAGCGUUAUCCGGAAUCAUUGGGUUUAAAGGGUCCGUAGGCGGUUUAGUAAGUCAGUGGUGAAAGCCCAUCGCUCAACGGUGGAACGGCCAUUGAUACUGCUAGACUUGAAUUAUUAGGAAGUAACUAGAAUAUGUAGUGUAGCGGUGAAAUGCUUAGAGAUUACAUGGAAUACCAAUUGCGAAGGCAGGUUACUACUAAUUGAUUGACGCUGAUGGACGAAAGCGUGGGUAGCGAACAGGAUUAGAUACCCUGGUAGUCCACGCCGUAAACGAUGGAUACUAGCUGUUGGGCGCAAGUUCAGUGGCUAAGCGAAAGUGAUAAGUAUCCCACCUGGGGAGUACGAACGCAAGUUUGAAACUUAAAUGAAUUGACGG